rnacentral:lncRNA from 1 species
AUAUAUAUAUAUAUAUAUAUAUAUAUAUAUAUAUAUAUAUAUCCAAGUUGAUGAAAUUAACUCAAACUAUAUGCUUCAAAUCUUUGUGGGUUCACAUAUAUAGAUCUCUUCAAUAAGCUAGCUGUUCAUGAAUGAUUUUGAGAGCUUCUUGAUUGAAAUUAAGCAAGUUGUUUAGUGCAAAGGGUUGCAGGCUGAAGCUGGGAUAGUCUGCAGGAAAGGAAAGGAUUGUAGCGAAGCGAUUGGAAGGCGAUGGGAGGCGUGCUGGUGAUCUCGGUGCCGUUACUUCUCCUGAUCGCGAUCCUGGCCCUUGCUUGCUACCUUUUCGGUAGGUCCCGGGGCCGGUCCUAGUGGAGGGCCCCGCAGUAUUUGGGCUGCCGGCCCAAAUACAGCCCAUCCUCCACCUGCUCCGGCCCAAGAGAAGGGCCCAACUACCCACAACAUGCGUUGCCGAGAAUGCUACAUUGUGUAUUUGCUCGGACCUUCUGUGGUGUGCUUUUAUUUAUAGGGAGUGACGUUUGUGGGUUUGGUAGCUUUUUGGCUUCUUUGUCGAGCAUGGAUUAUAAGUAAUAAUAUUAUAUUUGUUUUAUUGCUAUUCAGUUGAUUAAUUCGAUAAACACGAUGCUUCCUCUUGGCUGGUUCUGGUUAAUUAGCUUCCUAAA